GUGGGGAAUAUUGGACAAUGGGGGGAACCCUGAUCCAGCCAUGCCGCGUGUGUGAAGAAGGCCUUUUGGUUGUAAAGCACUUUAAGCGAGGAGGAGGCUACCGAGAUUAAUACUCUUGGAUAGUGGACGUUACUCGCAGAAUAAGCACCGGCUAACUCUGUGCCAGCAGCCGCGGUAAUACAGAGGGUGCAAGCGUUAAUCGGAUUUACUGGGCGUAAAGCGCGCGUAGGUGGCCAAUUAAGUCAAAUGUGAAAUCCCCGAGCUUAACUUGGGAAUUGCAUUCGAUACUGGUUGGCUAGAGUAUGGGAGAGGAUGGUAGAAUUCCAGGUGUAGCGGUGAAAUGCGUAGAGAUCUGGAGGAAUACCGAUGGCGAAGGCAGCCAUCUGGCCUAAUACUGACACUGAGGUGCGAAAGCGUGGGGAGCAAACAGGAUUAGAAACCCUGGUAGUCC
rnacentral:rRNA from 1 species